GAUGAACGCUGGCGGCGUGCCUAAUACAUGCAAGUCGAGCGAACAGACGAGGAGCUUGCUCCUCUGACGUUAGCGGCGGACGGGUGAGUAACACGUGGAUCACCUACCUAUAAGACUGGGAUAACUUCGGGAAACCGGAGCUAAUACCGGAUAAUAUAUUGAACCGCAUGGUUCAAUAGUGAAAGACGGUUUUGCUGUCACUUAUAGAUGGAUCCGCGCCGCAUUAGCUAGUUGGUAAGGUAACGGCUUACCAAGGCAACGAUGCGUAGCCGACCUGAGAGGGUGAUCGGCCACACUGGAACUGAGACACGGUCCAGACUCCUACGGGAGGCAGCAGUAGGGAAUCUUACGCAAUGGGCGAAAGCUUGACGGAGCAACGCCGCGUGAGUGAUGAAGGUCUUCGGAUCGUAAAACUCUGUUAUUAGGGAAGAACAAAUGUGUAAGUAACUAUGCACGUCUUGACGGUACCUAAUCAGAAAGCCACGGCUAACUACGUG
rnacentral:rRNA from 1 species